CUGAAAACGGCCCCAUUCAAGAAAUCCCUGGCCUGUCAGCUGGCAUAUACCUGUCAUUUCAUCAGAUUUGAUGUCAAGUGCCUUUAACUGCGGAGCCAUUGGCAAUCCUCUCCACCUUAGUUUCUGAGACAGAAUCUCUUGCUGAAACUAGGACUCACAAAUGGCUGUACUGGCUGGUUAGUAAGCUUCUGGAAUCCUCUUCUCUCUGCUUCUGGGAGCUGAGACUUAGGACCCAUUGACUAGAAGAACUCAUGGUCCAAGCACCAUCUGUAGCCAGAAAAAUUUCGCCUUCAUGUUUCUGGACCAAUACAUCACUAGCAUCAGGCAUGAUCACAUGCCAAAGCAAAACAUAUUCUGAGAGGAAAAGAAAAUUCCCCAGCAUUUUGAACACAUUGAUACAUAGGUAAAACAAAUCAGUCUCAAUAUUCU